rnacentral:rRNA from 1 species
CAGCAGUGGGGAAUAUUGCACAAUGGGGGAAAUCUUGAUGCAUCCAUGCCGUGUGUGUGAAGAAGGCUUUGGGGUUGUAAAGCUCUUUCAGUAGGGAUGAAAGGGUAAUUUUUAAUACUAUUUGUGUGACGUUACCUACAGAAGAAGAACAGGCAGAUUACGUGCCAGCAGCCGCGUUAAUAUGGAGGGUCCGAGCGUUAAUCGGAAUUAUUGGGCGUAAAGCGUGCGCAGGCGGUUUGUUAAUCGAGAUGUGAAAGCCCUGGGCUCAACCUAGGAAUCGCAUUUCGAACUGACCAACUAGAGUCUUGUAGAGGGGGGUAGAAUUCCAGGUGUAGCGGUGAAAUGCGUAGAGAUUUGGAGGAAUACCGGUGGCGAAGGCGGCCUCCUGGACAAAUAUUAACGAUAAUGCACGAAAGCCUGGGGGCAACCCAGGAU